UCCAUCGUUCAAUCGCUUUUCAAGGCAACUCGCUCCCCACCUUCCUUGUUUCUGCAGCUAAUCACGGAUCAAAUCGGGUGAUCAUACAAAUUAAUUAGAAAUUAUUUCCUUGCCGCAUAUGUCACUCCCGAAAAAAGUCUCGCAUUAAUCUCCCUCCCUCUCGAUCCAAUUACGCCGCCGCCUCACCACCAACCUGUCCGGCCAUCCCAGCCACCACGUCCCUCGCGCCGCCACCAUUUUUUUCCGCGGAGUCAGGGCCUCGGAAGGACCUAUCGUUUCCUCAACGCUUGGGGACGCACAGGCCGCCACCAUCCUCAACAACCGCGGCGUCGGGUCGCACCUGGGGAGGUACGGUGGCGGAGGAUGCGCCGUGCAGCGCAUGGACGCCCAGUGUUUGGUUACGACGACACAGUUCUGCCUGAUUUUUACUGAAAGAUGUAUUAUGUGUACCUAACUGAUUACCCAUACAAUUUGACAGAUAGUCACAAACUACAAGGACUAAGGUCUCGGAUGAAUCCACAAGGUCAAAGGGUAUGAUAUGAGUUAAUUCUGAUGCUUAUACAUGUUAAAGGUGCACCCAGAAGAGUUAAGAUGAAGAGAAAACAAUCAACAACUUGCUGCCAUCCAUGUGCUCAUCCGGAGAUGUUUGAAUGAUCAAAGAUAUUACUCGUCUAGGUUAUUGUAGGGUAUGAACCUUGGCUGCUAUACUUACAUGUUCCAUUUUGCUAUAGUUAUGUCACCUGUCUACAAUUUUUGCAACCAGCUCAUAAACCGUGCAUCGUAAUCUUGUGUUGUUGAAGACAUGUCCAUUUCUUUCCGUCGAGAAGCUCAUAAAUGAAUAUAAGUACCGCAUCAGUAGCUUAUUGUGUUACUCAAUUACACUUGGUUUAGAUAGCUUCAGUAAUAAAAAAACUACACACAAAAUAUGUAAUUCCCCUUUCCUUUCUCCUCCUUUACACACAAGUAUCAUGGUCAUCUUCAGGGAGCAUGUUCAGUGAUCAUGUUCAAAUCAGGCAGUUCUUGUGGAAGAAUGAAGUUCAGAUCCGGCAUCAUGAUCCGUGGCCGGCGGAGGAGGGAACUAGAAAGAGAAAUUUCUCGAGAAGUUACAAAUGAUAGACUGUCAAAUAACUUUCCAAGAGAAAUUUCUCGAAAAGUUACAAAUGAUAGACUUUCAAAUAACUUUCCAAGAGUAGCAUUAUCAUGAAUGGAAUAUGGAUCCCAAAUGCAGGUUGUGAAUUCAGUAACUAUUAGGCAACAUUGAGCACCACCACCUGAGCUUAGAUUGGCACUGAAUGCAAGACAAGAAAGGUAAAUUCUGAGUCCAUUCCUUCCAUGCAUGAAUGGCAAACAUGUAACCUACAUCUCACAGCAGGUUCUGCAUUUCUGUUCUGUUUUUAUUAUCUGCAGUAACGAAGAAAAGUAAUCGCAAAUUUACCUUUCCAAAUAUUCUACAUCUAAGGAAACUAAUCACGGUUAUCUGUGUGAAUGGUUUAAUAAAUAACUGACUAAGUAUGUAAGGAAACUAAUCAUGGAAUUUUGGGGAACUGAUUGCGGGAAUUUUUGGAAACUAAUCAUGGAUUUUUUUUCUGAAAUUAACAGGACAAACCUUCUUCAGAGCAAUAACAGCAGGAGCCGCUACAACAACACUCGAGGCCUCAAACCUCUUCGUCGCCUCGACAAUACUUUGAGUUUGAGUUUCUUCCUAGCGGCGGAAUCCGAGGCGGCGCGUGAUGGUGCAAUGGAGGCUGGGACAGCGGGUGAUGGUGGACGGGAGGCCGAGGCAGCGGGUGAUGCUGGAAGGGAGGCCAAAGCAGAGCAUGAUGGUGGAAAGGUGGCCCGGGUGCCCCCAGUGGGGGUGCGGCCGGCGGAGGAGCAACGACGUUGAUGCUUCAUAGGUUCAGUUGGUUAGGGAGGUGCACCGGUGUUGAUGAGGAAUAGGUUCGCGUUUGACGACCUAACGAUGGCGGAUGGCGACGGAGAUGUGGCAUCUGACACCUUCUCCGAGGAGUGGCGGCGUGCGAAAAAAUAUGACAAAUUGUAUCGGACCGUUUCUGAAACAUUUGGAAUUGGGAAGGGUUGUUGCAAAACCUAAUUAGUAUAUAGGUUGUGGAAGUUAUUUCGGGACAGAGGGAGUAUUGUUUUAUAGGAUGUUUAGGAGCCGAGGAAGAACUCUUUUGUACGCUUGCUCAAGUUAGUCAAGUACAAGAAAAUGAAGCAGAUGCCUACCAUUGUACGAAAAUAUGUAAUUAGCAUCAAGGAGUAGAUAUUUGUGAAUAGAGUAUAUAUUUUAUUAAUAUAAAAUAAUCAUUUGAUUGCUUA